rnacentral:pre_miRNA from 1 species
AGUGAGAUAACUGGGUCAAUUUGUGUUUGCAUUCCAGGUUUUCUGAGGAAUUUCCAUACUACUUUUCAGACUGGUUGUACCAAUUUACAGUCCUACCAGCAAU